rnacentral:rRNA from 1 species
GAGUUUGAUCGUGGCUCAGAUUGAACGCUGGCGGCAUGCCUUACACAUGCAAGUCGAACGGCAGCACGGGAGCUUGCUCCUGGUGGCGAGUGGCGAACGGGUGAGUAAUGCAUCGGAACGUAUCCUGGAGUGGGGGAUAACGUAGCGAAAGUUACGCUAAUACCGCAUAUUCUGUGAGCAGGAAAGCGGGGGACCUUCGGGCCUCGCGCUCUUGGAGCGGCCGAUGUCGGAUUAGCUAGUUGGUGAGGUAAAGGCUCACCGGGGAAGCGACGAUCCGUAGCAGGUCUGAGAGGAUGAUCUGCCACACUGGAACUGAGACACGGUCCAGACUCCUACGGGAGGCAGCAGUGGGAAUUUUGGACAAGUGGGGGCAACCCUGAUCCAGCCAUGCCGCGUGAGUGAAGAAGGCC